rnacentral:lncRNA from 1 species
UGUUUACACAUUAUUACACUGGUCGUUUUAGGCAAUCAAUUAAUCUCUACAUGGAGGCUUUUCUUAAUACAAAUCCAUUGGUCAGCGAUUUUUAGAAUAGGUGACGGCAAGGCAUUUGUAUAUUUUACUGAGCAUAGACUAUCGCUCUUUAGUGUGUAAUAAAAUGAUAAUUAUGAAAAUACUAAUAUAUUUAUUUAAAAGAGGGGCGAAAGAUACCAGAGUGAAAGUCAAAGUCAUAGAUCGAAAAUAAACUGACAACGCCUGGCUUAAAAAGAAAAAGACAAACAGAUAAAUAAUAGUACACAACAUAGAAAACUAAGACUAAGCAGCACUAACCCCACCACAAACUGGGGGUGAUCUCAGGUAAAGAGUAACUCAUUUGGAUUAAGGCAUUUUUAAUCAGGCUCUCUACAUACUAUAUCAACUAUAUGAAUAAAAAUAUACAUUAU